rnacentral:lncRNA from 1 species
ACCAGAUAUUAUUGCAUCCAAAGAUCAACUGUACCUAGAACAUAGAUACAGAGCCACUUGUCAUCAGGAAGCUGCUCUCUCAGCACAACGGAAAAUAUCUCAAUGACUUGACAUGUUCUGGCUGUGAAUUCAGGCUACAAGGGGUCCUGCCUCUAAAAUGAGUCUCUCUGGGGAGAGAGAGGAGGGGGGCCCUGCCUCUAAAAUGAGUCUCUCUGGGGAGAGAGAGGGGGAACCUGCCUCUAAAAUGAGUUUCUCUGGGGAGAGAGAGGAGGGGGGCCCUGCCUCUAAAAUUAUUUUCUCUGGGGAGAGAGAGGAGGGGGGCCCUGCCUCUAAAAUGAGUUUCUCUGGGGAGAGGAAGGAAGGGGGCCCUGCCUCUAAAAUGCAUCUCUCUGGGGGACAUGACAUCAAAACUAAGAGUCCAAUCAAGCAGGAGAGACCAGCCUCCCCUGUUCCCAGCUGUGUGUCCAUGAAGAGUGACUGGUAUAUGGGUCAUCCUAUAGUGUUUAGAGAGGGAGACUUUUCUACUGAACAAAGAUUCUCUAACCAAACUCUGAGAUCAGUCUCUCCAGUACCCAGUCAUCUGUCCAUGAAGAGUGACUCCUCUAUGCAUCAUCCUAUACAUUUUAGUGAUGGAUCAGGGACCUUUGACCCCAGGUAAGUUACUGGUCAGAAUUGAUGAUAUUACUAUUGAAGAGGAGAACCUUCAAGAUCUGAAACCAGAUGUAUUUUGAGUAUCUGAGUAUAUACUGUAAAGCAUCUGCUUAUCAUUUGUUGUUUAUGUCAUAUAUUUUAAGACACUGAGUGUACAAAACAUUAUGAACACCUGCUUUUUCCAUGACGUAGAUUGACAAGGUGAAUCCAGGUGAAAGCAAUGAUCCCUUAUUGAUGUCACUUGUUAAAUCCACUUCAAUCUGUGUCGAUGAAGGGGAGGUUAAAGAAGGAUUUUUAAGCCUUGAGACAAUUGAGACAUGGAUUGUGUAUGUGUGCCAUUCAGAGGGUGAAUGAGCAAGUCAAUAUAUUUAAGUACCUUUGAAUGGGGUAUUGUGGUAGGUCUCAGGCACAAAAUUCUAGUAAUGGUGUUGUGGACAUGUUAUUCAUUCCAGAGGCUACUACCACACUCAGACAGCACAGUAUACUGAUCCCAGCUGUCUGUCUAUGAACACAGUAUACUGUUCCCAGCUGUCUGUCUAUGAACACAGUAUACUGUUCCCAGCUGUCUGUCUAUGAACACAGUAUACUGUUCCCAGCUGUCUGUCUAUGAACACAGUAUACUGUUCCCAGCUGUC